CGUUAGCGGCGGACGGGUGAGUAACGCGUGGACAACCUGCCCUAUGCAGGGGGAUAACAUCCGGAAACGGGUGCUAAUACCGCAUAAGCGCACAGUACCGCACGGUACGGUGUGAAAAGCUGAGGCGGCAUAGGAUGGGUCCGCGUUGGAUUAGGCAGUUGGCGGGGUAACGGCCCACCAAACCGACGAUCCAUAGCCGGCCUGAGAGGGUGGACGGCCACAUUGGGACUGAGACACGGCCCAGACUCCUACGGGAGGCAGCAG
rnacentral:rRNA from 1 species